AGCGAAGGUGUGGAAGUAGGACUGAGGCGAGGAGUAGACUAUCUGGUUGUAGAGCUCCUGCUCCCAAACCUGCCUGCUCGUCUGUGGAGAAACACAUGACGCAGAGCACACAUGAAUCUGUAACUUCCAUUUUCAGAGGGAGGGAGUGCACUGUUCUUGUUCUUCUCCUGCUGUGAGUAUACUCACUUUGCAUCCACACAAAUUGUGUACCUGAUGUCAUUUUUUUUUUUAAACUUGGAAUAAAUAGCAAUUUAAAACUUUGGUACAAAUUAAAGACAUAUUUUAUUGACAGAUAUAGACAUUCAAAUUACGCACUCACAGGAUGAAUAACAACGUCAAAACGUUUUUUAAGUCAAAUAUUAAAGACACAAAGAAAAUACUCCAUUUUAACUUAAACCCCUUAGGUCAUUAUUCAACCAUUAGGAACAUUCUAGGACUGCUACAACAGACACAGAAUGUUAACACAGAAUGGUAAUUGGCCUUGGCUGAACAUAUAAAAACAGUGUGUUAUCAUCUAUUUCAAUGUGACACAAUUUAUUCUUUGGUUUGCAAUCAGGGCCUUUUCAGGAAUUCA